rnacentral:rRNA from 1 species
GCAUAUCAAUAAGCGGAGGAAAAGAAACCAACAGGGAUUGCCUCAGUAACGGCGAGUGAAGCGGCAACAGCUCAAAUUUGAAAUCUGGCCCCCCGGGCCCGAGUUGUAAUUUGCAGAGGAUGCUUCUGGCAAGGCGCCUUCCGAGUUCCCUGGAACGGGACGCCGUAGAGGGUGAGAGCCCCGUACGGUCGGCCGCCGAGCCUCUGUGAAGCUCCUUCGACGAGUCGAGUAGUUUGGGAAUGCUGCUCUAAAUGGGAGGUGUACGUCUUCUAAAGCUAAAUACCGGCCAGAGACCGAUAGCGCACAAGUAGAGUGAUCGAAAGAUGAAAAGCACUUUGAAAAGAGGGUUAAACAGUACGUGAAAUUGUUGAAAGGGAAGCGCUCGUGACCAGACUUGGGCCGGCUGAUCAUCCGUCGUUCUCGGCGGUGCACUCUGCCGGCUCAGGCCAGCAUCAGUUCGGCGCGGGGGACAAAGGCUUCGGGAAUGUGGCUCCUCCGGGAGUGUUAUAGCCCGCUGCGUAAUACCCUGCGCUGGACUGAGGUUCGCGCAUCUGCAAGGAUGCUGGCGUAAUGGUCUCCAGUGACCCGUCUUGAAACACGGACCAAGGAGUCGUCUUCGUAUGCGAGUGUUCGGGUGUCAAGCCCCUACGCGGAAUGAAAGUGAACGCUGGAGAGAGCUUCGGCGCAUCUCCGACCGAUCCUGAUGUUCUCGGAUGGAUUUGAGUAUGAGCAUACGGGGCCGGACCCGAAAGAAGGUGAACUAUGCCUGUAUAGGGUGAAGCCAGAGGAAACUCUGGUGGAGGCUCGCAGCGGUUCUGACGUGCAAAUCGAUCGUCAAAUAUGGGCAUGGGGGGCGAAAGACUAAUCGAACCUUCUAGUAGCUGGGUUUCCGCCGAAG